CAGCCGCCGCGGGAAUACGGAGGGAGCUAGCGUUGUUCGGAAUUACUGGGCGUAAAGCGCACGUAGGCGGCUUUGUAAGUCAGAGGUGAAAGCCUGGAGCUCAACUCCAGAACUGCCUUUGAGACUGCAUCGCUUGAAUCCAGGAGAGGUGAGUGGAAUUCCGAGUGUAGAGGUGAAAUUCGUAGAUAUUCGGAAGAACACCAGUGGCGAAGGCGGCUCACUGGACUGGUAUUGACGCUGAGGUGCGAAAGCGUGGGGAGCAAACAGGAUUAGAUACCCCUGUAGUCCCUUCUCUUAUACA
rnacentral:rRNA from 1 species